rnacentral:rRNA from 1 species
GACGAACGCUGGCUGCGUGCUUAACACAUGCAAGUCGAACGAAAAUACCAAGCUUGCUUGGUUGAUUUUGGGCGAACGGGUGAGUAACACGUGAGUAACCUGCCCCUUACUUUCCUGGAUAGCUGCACAAAAGGGUAGCUAAUACAGGAUAUUCUGACCGGCCUGCAUGAGUUGGUUUGGAAAGGUUGUUUUUUCUGGUGAGGGAUGAUGGGGAUGCGUCUGAUUAGCUUGUUGGCGGUGAAACGGCCCACCAAGGCUACGAUCAGUACGGGUUCUGAGAGGAAAGUCCCCCACUGUGAAUCUGAUACACCCCCCACACUCCUACGGGAGGCCGCAGUGAAGAAUAUUGCUCAAUGGACGGAACUCUGAACCAGCCACCUCGCGUGCAGGAUGACCGUCCUAUGGGUUGUCCUCUGCUUUCGUAUGGCGACGAACUUCGGGACGUGUCCCUAUUUGCAGGUACCAUACGAAUAACGACCGGCUAAUUCCGUGCCAGCAGCCGCGGUAAUACGGAAGGUCCAGGCGUUAUCCGGAUUUAUUGGGUUUAAACGCAGCGUAGGCUGGACAUUAAGUGUGUUGUGAAAUGUAGACGCUCACGUCUGUAUUGCAGCGCAUACUGGUUUCCUUGUGUACGCACAACGUUGGCGGAAUUCGUCGUGUAGCGGUAAAAUGCUUAUAUAUGACGAAAAACUCCGAUUGCAAAAGGGGCUGACGGGAGUGCUACUGACGCUUAAGCUCGAAGUGCGGGUAUCAAACAAGGAUAUAUACCUCUGGUAGUCCAAGGGGGGAAUUCCCCAGUUGAUAUGAGGUUUUUCACUCCGUCGACCUCCGAGGGGGGGGGCGGGUCCCGAGCUUUUGUUUCCUUUUCAGAGAGAUAAUAUCAGAACAUGACGAAU